CCCUUAGAUGUUCUGGGCUGCACGCGCGCUACACUGACAUGUCCAGCGAGCUCCCAACCUGCUCGGCAAAGAAUGGGUACCCUUUUUAACGCAUGUCGUGAUGGGGAUAGAUUAUUGCAAUUGUUGAUCUUGAACGAGGAAUUCCUAGUAAGUGCAAGUCAUUAGCUUGUGCUGAAUACGUCCCUGCCCUUUGUACACACCGCCCGUCGCUCCUACCGAUUGAAUGCUCAGGUGAGCCAUUCGGACCUUCAUCAUGCCGGUUUCCGGUUUUGAUGAGGGAAAGUCUUGCGAACCUUAUCAUUUAGAGGAAGGAGAAGUCGUAACA
rnacentral:rRNA from 1 species